GGGCUCAUAGCUCAGCUGGUUAGAGCAUUCGGUUUACAUCCGAAAGGUCUCUGGUUCGAUCCCAGAUGAGCCCACCA
rnacentral:tRNA from 1 species